UCUAAAUAAUUGCAGCACCUGGGUGGCUCACGGCAUGAUCUCGCAGUUCGUGAGUUCAAGCCCCAUGUCAGGCUCUGUGCUGACAGCUUAGAGCCUGGAGCUGCUUCAGAUUCUGUGUCUCCCUCUCUCUCUCUCUCUGCCCCUCCCCCACUCAUGCUCUGUCUCUGUCUC